UACGUAGGGGGCAAGCGUUGUCCGGAUUUAUUGGGCGUAAAGAGCGUGUAGGCGGCCAGGCAGGUCCGCUGUGAAAACUCGAGGCUCAACCUCGAGAGGUCGGUGGAAACCGUCUGGCUAGAGUCCGAAAGAGGAGAGUGGAAUUCCCGGUGUAGCGGUGAAAUGCGCAGAUAUCGGGAAGAACACCCGUGGCGAAGGCGGCUCUCUGGGACGGUACUGACGCUGAGACGCGAAAGCGUGGGGAGCGAACAGG
rnacentral:rRNA from 1 species